AAAACUGAGAGCAGGAACUGAACUGAGAGUGUGGCACCGCACUGAGGUGUCCCUGGAUGAACAGCAAUGUUCCCUAGUGAGUCAAGUGCUCCAUAAAUCUCAACAUCAUGACAUUGUGCUGGUGCCCUUGUGGGUGCCACCGCCACUACUGCUGUCAUUAACAAUGACGUGUCAGCUAAUCGUGCAUGUUCUGAUGCAUUCCUCAUAGUCUCUUUCCAAGAAACAUGAGGAAGAGGUCUGAUUCCUGGUCUUCCCAACGCAACGUAUGAACCUCUCUGACACAGAGCCUCCUCAUCUGCGCAAUGUAGGUGAUGGUCCUGCAUGAGGACAACAGGAGGCCGCGCGCACUGAAUGCCUGGUGGGAAACCUGCUCACUCCGGGCCAGCUUUCUCCCCUGCUCUCAGACCAAUACAAAUUUCAUCAACAGCUGGUAGCAGCUGAGAACAGCAUUUGAGAACAAUCGUCUGGGGAUCAAUAUUUUUCAAAGGUGAAAAAUGCAUAGCUCUUUUAUAAAGGAAGAUAUUCUUGCAAGACCAAGAAUACCUCCACAGACCCCCACAGCAGCAGGCGUAGGGACUGCAUUUUCAAGAUACCUACUUAUUCCACAGAAAUGCUUUUCAUUGUGAGUUUCACUGCAAAAGUUUAGUCUCUAUAAUUGGAAAUAUGUAUAUUUUUAGAUUAUCAUCUAAGUGAAAAUGCAAAAUUUUUAAGUGUUGGUAGAACUGGCAGAUUUCUGAGACUAUCUCUGAGCACUUGGUUUGAGAAGCAGGUCUGGACAUCCAUAAACCAACUGUUCUGUUUCUCACGGAAGGAAAGCUUAAAUUACAGCCCGUGGAAUCGAGAGGAAUCCCACAGAGAUCUGGGUGAGGAGCUCCCUGAGGAAUACUAGUAAUUCUGACACCACAGCACCACCCUAGGGGUGCAUGAAGAAACAUCAAAAUGAGAGGUGGUUUCCUGAGCUGGAUCAGACCAUAGCCCUGGCCACAGGCACAGCCCAGACAUCAGAAACCCCCGGGGCCACCGGGCUCCAUGCUGCUGCACCUGGCCUGCCCCCAGCUUUCGCCUCCACAGCCUGGGACCCGAGAGGGUAUGGCGGGAGGGACAAGGUAAAAGUGCUGAUGCUCCCGACUUGGUGAAGCUCAUCAUGACGACUUGGUGAAGCUCAUCAUGACGACUUGGUGAAGCUCAUCAUGACGAUGAGAGCUCUCAAGGCUUACUGUGUGACCACCCUGACAGCCGCUCCCGCACUCCCAGAAGUGCUACCUCAGGGACAGGAGUCACAGAACUCACAAGCAGAUCUGUCUUCAGCCCACAAAGACAGAAGGAUUAAGGGCUGAAAAGAAAAAGGCUCUGGACUAUUGGAUCAAAGAUGAGUCGCAAUGAAGUCUUGAAGCCUCUCCUCUCUAGAAACCCCUUCAGUCAGAGCCACCAGAGUCAAAGGCAGAUUGAGAGCUUUUCCUCCAGAGGCAGGGGGCCAGACAAAAGGCCUCAGGCCACCCACCCGCAAGCCCCACAGCCCGCAUGAAGCUGCUGGGCUGUUUUAUCCCUGGGCACUAUAGGCAGUAGCCACAGCCUCCUGGCUUUCCCAGGUUCCAAAAAACUACUGAAAUUUGGAAAAAACCAAUGGUGAACUUCAAAAUAUAGAAACUUGCAAAAGUGGAAGCAACACACACUCCAUUAAACUCUGCAAACUUUCACGUUAUGUGAGCUGGUCCCCCACAGCUGACACUGUGGCUAGAUAACAUUUCCCGCGGCAUACGGGAGCACUGGGAUAGGCUUCAUAUGGCACAGGGGGGAGCCGCACAGCUUGUCCCCUUCCCGGGGCUAGCUGACCUGGUGCCCUCUGUCCCCCCAGACCUUCUUCUCCCUCCGGCCCCUUCCCUCCCCACCUUCUCCCAUUUCACCCUGGCGGUCGCUGUCCUGUGGACCUGAAACAGACGCCUGGAGUCUCCCAGCACCUGGGCCAGUGGCUCGGCUCCUCCCGCCUCCCCUGCCUCCUUGAGGAAUCCCAGUGGCUGCCCUGCCUGGGGCCAACAGAGCCAGGCCCUGACCGCUGUGGUCUAGCCCGGUGGCCAGGGACAGACCCCAGGCUUGCCCAGGCCAGGCUAGCACGGGUGGAAUCUUCACUGAGGCAGGAACCAGAGGCAGGAUUGGAUAGAACACAGGCUCCGCAGCCCAGCAGAUUCGGAGUCAAUUUACUUUGUCUCUUUGAGCCUCAAUUUCCUCACAUGUAAAAUGAUACCCAUAAUUCAUAAAGUCAAGAAUGAAUUAUUAUCCCCAUCAUAACAGCCUCCUUCACAGGGCACAGAGGGUGCGGUGCGGCCUGAGAUGGGACAGUGCGUGUGGGGCUUCCACCCUACCUACCACCAACAGCUGCCGCUCUCACUGAGCAUUUACUGUAUUCCAGGCAGUGUGCACAUUACUAAGCAUCAGGUAUUAUUUUGGUGAACUCCUUCAGCAACUCCAGAGGUCCAAUUUAUCAUCCCUGUGUUGUUGAGGAAAACACCGUAGCUCAGAAACGUUACUGUGCCCAGGAUCGCACCAAGCUGCGAGUGCAGCACGGACAGGGCUAACCCUGACCCCACACAGUCUGUUUACCAAUCAUUCUGCAGCGGGCAGUCCGGCAGAAUGUUAACCUAAGAACCAGAAAACCUAAGUUUGUUUCUCUAAGUAUGUGUAAGGUUUUGAACAGUGCUGAGGCCUCCCUGGGCCUGUCCCUUUGUGUGUGAGUGGGAAUAACAAGAGCCGCCCGGCUGACAGCACAGAACAGCUGCACAGAACAGCACCUGCACAGAUCAAGCUAGAUGCUGGACAUCAGCACUGUGUGGACCACAGAACACUCAGCAAGUGCGUGAGAAUAAACCUCUUGCAACUCAAGCCGGCUCAGUGGCUGUCCAAACUCUACUUGAAUACUUCUAAGAACACAGAGCUCACUACUUCUUUUAGCAGUUGUUAUGGUUAGAAAGUUUUUCCUUUUGCAAGGUCUACAGGGAGUUACUUGCCUGUUACUAGCCCACUGGCCCGGGCCAGGUCCUCCAAUGCCCUGUCAGUUGGAAAAACUCACUGCAGUAUCACAUGCUGGCUGCUAAAGACCCCAAAAGCUGUGUCCCCGCUCUUGUUUUCCGGCCCUGAGCUCCUCAUCCUGACACAGAAGGAAGCAGUUGGUCUAUACUGGCUCCCCUCCUGCUCCCAGUCCUCUCCCCGUCCCUGCUUCUCAGACUCCUGGGCCAGGAGGAGAUGAUCUGAAUCAAGGAAGGAUGUGGAGGAUGCCAGAGAUGCUGCUGGCUGCUCCGACCACUCAUGCUUCCUGAGGUCCCCAUCCUCUGCCAACCCUGCCAUACUGGCACCUGGGCUCUGGGGGCAGGACCACAUGCACCUUGUAGCUCUUGCCUUGCAUCCUGCCUCCCCCCAUCAUGCGCCAUGCCAGCCGACUCCUGGGCCUAUACCUUAAACGACUCCAGGAAUCCUCCAUGGCCUCCAUUCUCAAACUUGUCCUCUUCAGGGGCCCAGUCCCAGCAUAGCCUGCGUGUGGGUGUGAAGCUCAUCAUGGAGGUUGUCCAGCAGGGCGGCCCGCGUCCGGUCCUGAAAGAAAAGAGGGUAGGGAUUACAGAGCUGGCACAGAGGACAGAGAUGUGCCCUCUCCCGGGGGGCUUCCAACACCUAACCAAUAGCAUCCCUGUGACAGUGUGGACCUGAGGCCUCACUGGGUUCCAUGCUCACAAAUACUGCGGUUAGCAAUAAAGCUCUGUGGCCUCUGCUGUCUUCCCCUCCCCUUCUCCUUGGGCCAUCCCAUGGCUCUACCCUGACUCCCAGUUCAGAUCUCCACCUCAAGCUCCACAGCCCUACACCCACCUCUUCUCCAUCCAGACAGUGGGCCAGGGCCAUGCAUACAAUGUCCAGGGGGCACCAUUCACACACUCCAGCACUAGCCCUGCAGCAGCCCUUGCAGGCCCCUCCAGGUCAGCAGAUCCUAAUAGACUUCCUUUCCCAAUGGCCCCCACGACAGUGAAGAGUCAUCCCUUACAAGCAAGCUGUUAUCAUCUGCCCUAGACUCUUGUAAAAGCUUCCAGCCUGCCACCUUUCCUGCCCUCCUCCAUAGGGAUCUGUCCUUCUCAUCAACACCAGAGUAAUCUAAUAUACAAAGCAAACCAACACUCUAAGUACUUAAUUAGCACCUCAUCACCUCUUGAGUUCAAAGCCCUUCCUGACCUGCCCCCAACCACACCUCCAGCGGAGUCUCCACCCACCCCCCACAUGAGUCCUUCUCUCAGGCCAUGUCAAAACCCUCUGGGGCUCCCUCAAAAGUCAUGCUCUGAUCUGCCUGGCAAUGCUUAUGCUGUUUUCCAUGCCUGGAAUAACCCUCCCCAAUCUUUCCUCCUGGCAAAAGGCUCAUCAAAUAUCUAGAUUCAGCAGCCCAAGGGCCACCUCCUCAGAGAAGCCCUUUCUGAGCACACCCCUGUUCUACAUGGGCAGAAGUGGUCAUAGCCCCCAUGCUGGCCUCCAUCAUGGCCAAGUGCCCACACUGUGCCACGUUUGUCUCUUAAGUAAUGGCUUCUCCCCAGCAGUCCAAAACCUCUGGAAGACAGAAACUGUGUCUCCACACACAGCAGGUGCUCAAUAAAUGACCAGCAUACAAGACUGACUGACUGACUAACUAACUAACUAAAUAAAUAAAUAAAUAACUGACCGGCAAAUGGUCGGCCAGGCCUAAAGUUUGGCUGGAGUUUCCACAAGAAGAAAGAGUUCCUCUAUCAACACAGGGCUGAAGAAAGCUCAGAGGGGUGGGCAAAGACAGUGCUCCUCCCCUAAAGCAGCCCCCAGGAACAGACCCCAGGAGAGGCUGGAUAACAAGCAGCCGGGAAGGUAGCAGGAAGACUUCCAAAAACAGAACUCUCACCUCCAGCUUCGCAAACUUGUCUGACUUGCAGCAGGCGUUCUCUGCGUUGGUGAGCUUGGUAAGCAGGAACUCCCUGAACUCUGGGCCCUAGAACAGACGAGAAGCUCUGGGAUGCUCCCAGCCCAGCUGUCCCCAAAUGGGCUUUCAGCCACAGUAACAGGAAAGCAGAACGGGGCGCCUGGGGAGGGCCCCUACAAGGUCCCCUUCUGACUUUUGGUCACUUUCUAGCCCAGACCAGGACCACCUGGUAAGAUGCCUCCUGGUGGAAACCAGCUGUCCCGUUGCUGGGAAGUCAACCCCCAACACACGGUUUCUGUGACAGGAGGGAAUUCUUGUCUGAGGCUCCUCAGAUGGAGGCAUAAGUACAAAACUCUCUUCUAGCAGAAAGACAACCCCAGAGGCAAACGCUCUGACAGAGGGUGCUGUACUGGGCUGGACGGGCAACACGAGGAGGUGGAGAAGACCCCGGAAUGCAAAUACGAGGCUCCCGUGAGCCAUUACCACCAGCAGGGCCACCUUGCUGGAAGUGGGGCUACAGCGCACAAAGCUAUCUACUGUCUCUGCUGCAUUCCUGGAGGCCAGAAAUCAGUGUGGCAAGAUGACUGGACCUAGGGCCCAACUUCUUACUGCUAUGCAAGUGCCCAGGGGGCCUCAUGUGACUGGAUAUUCAGACCAUGAAAAAGGCCAAGUGGGCAGCCCCGGUGGCGCAGCGGUUUAGUGCCACCUGCAGCCCGGGGCGUGAUCCUGGAGACCCUGGAUCAAGUCCCACGUCAGGCUCUCUGCAUGGAGCCUGCUUCUCCCUCUGCCUGUGUC